UGCUACAGGCGACGACGGGUAGCCGGCCUGAGAGGGUGACCGGCCACAUUGGGACUGAGAUACGGCCCAGACUCCUACGGGAGGCAGCAGUGGGGAAUAUUGCACAAUGGGCGCAAGCCUGAUGCAGCGACGCCGCGUGGGGGAUGACGGCCUUCGGGUUGUAAACUCCUUUCGCUAGGGACGAAGCGUUUUUGACGGUACCUGCGGAAGAAGCACCGGCUAACUACGUGCAGA
rnacentral:rRNA from 1 species